rnacentral:lncRNA from 1 species
ACAUGAUAAAUUACUACCGUUUUCCGAUCCCUCUUGCUGAAAUGUGCAUUUACAGCUUCGUUGAGAUUGCCAUGGUGUUACUGCACCUAAACCAAAAAUAUAAAACUAUCAAGUCAAAAAACAAAAUAACGAUAAAUAUUAAGCUCAAAAAGGAAAUUACUAUGAAUAAUAACAACAAUAAUAUGGAAGAACACCAUUGUAGGCAAUCAAACUGUGAAAUUUGUUUACUUGAUGCAAUCAAUAAAUAAGAACUAUGUGUACCAACGAAAAGCCUUUAAUGAGUCGUCUACAAAUUUCACUUUGUUGAAGUGGGGAAAAAACCCAAAAAAUGUCAUAUUACAAAAGUGUAUAUACAUAUUGUAAUUGCAAACAACCAUCCAGAAAUUCAUAACCAACUCAUUGAACUUAGUUUUAUUCACACAAUAAGCAAAAUAUUAGUUCAAUCUAGGACUAAACCCCAUAACUGCAUACAGUUGUUGAUAAACUAUUAAAAUCCAAUGUCAAUCAUGUCAUCCCAGCAAAACACAUAAAAUUCGUACAACUAAAAAAUUAAGAAACCAUGAAAACGAAUAUAAUAAUGGUAAAUAUAUGAAAAAAGGUUUCAAAAUUCCUCCCACGCUAAAAUCCUUUAGUCUGCACAAUUUCAGUUAAUAAAGCAGUUAUAGAUUGAAACUGAAUUUCAUAGAAAGACAAUAUCAAAUCUAAAUAUUGAUGUUGCAGGACGCAACAACAGAGCGUAUAAUAUGAUGCAAUCAUUUCUUGUGUAUUUUCUAAGAAUACAUAUUGAUAGAUAAUAGUGAACUUCCAAAGAUGCCACACAAUUAGUUUGAGGGUGAAAAAAAAUCAUGAUUGCUGCGUGGGGUUUGACAAAAACACUUCAGGGUCUGCAUUCUCAGUCUUAUGUACAGAAUUACAUACAUCGAGAAUUAAACACGCCGAACAACAUUUAUGCAAAGCAGACAAUGAAGACAAAAUAUUACUAUUUUCACCUUGUAAAAAUUACAUGUUGAAAACAAUUUGGUCGUUCAAAACAUACUGUAAAAAAAAAUUGAAACUAAUCAAGAUAAUCAAAACUGAAAAAACAAAACGAAAAGCUAUAUACAGAAAACCGGCUAUCCACAUAAAAAAUUGCAAAAUUGAGAGAAUCUCGUUAAAGGUUAUUUAUGAUACUCUCACCUAUACGGUAGAAAAUUUUAAAGUGUCAAUAAACUGAACUACUGAAAACAAAAGGAGGGAAAAAAUUCAUAAUACGCAAGAAAAUUUAUUAAAAAAAAUUACCAGCGAAAAAAUUUAUAAAAAAGACAGUAUACACAUACCUCAUUUUUCAACAUACUUCAUUGUUUAGCUCCCUGACAUCAAGUUAUGGAGGCAGCGACCCUUUUGAACCGAAUCAUCUUUGAAUUCAUAAAAACAAAAAAAAAACAUCUCAUUAAAAUAGCCUUAUAUCCAUAAAAAAUUCCACCAAAGACACACACACGAAGCAUCAUAAAUGGAUUCAAAGAAAAGGAAUUACCAAAAAAAAUUUAACUCCUCAAUAGUGGACAGAAAAAGAAUACAUCGAACAUGGAAUUGAAGAAUUUUGUUUUUGCAAAAUUCAACUUUCAUCAUAUGAAAAAAGAAAAAAAAAAUUAUAAUCAAAUAAUGCUUAAAAUAACCAUAGACAACAUCCUAAAUAAUUAAUGUAGAAUUGAAAUUACACUAAUAAAAUUAUGCACAUCCCAGAAAAACCGAUCAAUCACCACCAACUUCAUAUUCUCUGGAUUAACUCGAGCAAGCUGAUUUUUUUCUUCUCUUGUAAAAUCAUAUUUCCGGAAAACCACAAUUGAAAAAUUGUGUCCGUAUGAAGUGGAGAGAAAGUGGAAAAGAAAACGAAAUGAAAACGGAAUAAAAUAUCAGAGGGAGAAGUGGGUGAAAGAUGAAGCGCCGAAAACCCGGGAGAAGUGGGGUGAAGCAGAAUAAUUUCAAAUAAUUAACUUAGGGCAACUCCAAUUGGAGUAUCAAAUGGAUUAUCAAAUCCAUAAACCACCUUUUUUAUAUCCCAAAAUUAAAAUUUUCUACUCCAAUGGGAGUAUCGAAAUGGGUAAGUAUUUUGAUAUUCUACCUCUUUGAAUGUAAAAAUACAUCCUGAAAAUUGAGUUAUCAAAAAAAUAACUACCUAAACAUCCAAUCACAAAAUGACACGUGGCAAUUACAAAUAAAACCACUAAAAAACUUUCAAUUAGUUAUUAAUUUUAAUAACCAUGGUUGGAGUAGACAAAUUGUAAAUGGAUAUUAAAAUAUUAUCUUAAUUAUCAAAUGAGUAUUUGAUAUUCCAAUUUUGAUAUUUAGCAUUGGAGUUGCUCCUACAAAGGAAAAGAAAACUUACCUUAUAACGUGGCUGAAGAAACGGAACAAAGUAGAAUUAUAAAACAAAAACCCACACCAGGAAUUGAAUAAACCGUCAGAGGAUUGAAUAAACGUGGAGAGAAAGGAGGGAGUGGAGAAGGGAAAAG